rnacentral:rRNA from 1 species
UACGAAGGGGGCUAGCGUUGCUCGGAAUCACUGGGCGUAAAGCGCACGUAGGCGGCUUUCUAAGUCAGGGGUGAAAUCCUGGAGCUCAACUCCAGAACUGCCUUUGAUACUGGAGAGCUAGAGUCCGGAAGAGGUGAGUGGAACUGCGAGUGUAGAGGUGAAAUUCGUAGAUAUUCGCAAGAACACCAGUGGCGAAGGCGGCUCACUGGUCCGGUACUGACGCUCAGGCGCGACAGCGUGGGGAGCAAACAGG